AUACCCUAACAGUGCCUUGGUGAAGCUUUAUGCCAAGCUCGGCCUUCAUCACUACAACUGGUUAGAGGGGACAAACUUUGAGCUAGAUAGCAUAAUGAAAUUCAACAUGCGUGGUCCUGCAUCUCCUUACUACAUAACCUUGGUUGCGUGCCUUCCAUCUAGCGGUUUGCAGCAGAUCUUUCAGGUUCUCGUAGAGGAAGAACGUCUUGGCAUUUUAGAUUUGACAUGCCCCAUCUCUAGAUCUCAAGGGACCGAGAGUUCAAAGAAGGAGUCAACUCCUUUCUUACAUCCACAUUCCGAGCCGGUGUCUG